GAUGAACGCUGACAGAAUGCUUAACACAUGCAAGUCAACCUUUGGCGGACGGGUGAGUAACGCGUAAAGUACUUGCCUCACGGAUAGGGUCAACAUUUGGACACGAAUGAUAAUACCUGAUACUGUGAGAGAGCUUUGCGUCCCAUUAGCUAGUUGGAGAGGUAACGGCUCACCAAGGCGAUGAUGGGUAGCCGGCCUGAAAGGGUGAUCGGCCAAAAGGGGAUUGGGACACGGCCGUUACUCAUACGUGGGGAAGGAGUGAAGAAUAUUGGACAAUGGACCAAAGGCUGAGCAAGCAAUUCUGUGGGCAAGAUGAAGUUUUCGGAAGGUAGAGUGCAAUCAUUGGAAAAGCGGUACCAACAGAAGAAGUGACGGCUAAAUACGUGCCAGCAGCCGCGGUAAUAC
rnacentral:rRNA from 1 species